UAGGGAAUCUUCCACAAUGGACGCAAGUCUGAUGGAGCAACGCCGCGUGAGUGAAGAAGGUUUUCGGACCGUAAAGCUCUGUUGUUGGUGAAGAAGGAUAGAGGUAGUAACUGGCCCUUUUAUUUGACGGUAAUCAACCAGAAAGUCACGGCUAACUACGUGCCAGCAGCCGCGGUAAUCGUAGGUGGCAAGCGUUGUCCGGAUUUAUUGGGCGUAAAGCGAGCGCAGGCGGAAGAAUAAGUCUGAUGUGAAAGCCCUCGGCUUAACCGAGGAAUUGCAUUGGAAACUGUUUUUCUUGAGUGCAGAAGAGGAGA
rnacentral:rRNA from 1 species